rnacentral:lncRNA from 1 species
CUCAAGUUCAGGUAUUAUCCGCUGCACUGAGAGCUGCACAGCUCGACUGCGUGAAUGAAGCUGAGAGCAAGCCAACAGCAGGCCUAAAGGAAGUGUCCAUUUCACAUCCCAGCUCUGCCUCUGACAAUCAGAUCGCUCUGGCGGCCUCAUCAUCUCAGGAUGAGCUCUUUGUGGCCAGGAUAUUACAAAGCCCAAAGUAAUUUCUGGCAUUGAAAAAGGACUCUUUGAAGGGGAAGUGACAGGACAGCUGCUUCCUUUGGAGCAAAUUGGUAACAUGUCCAAUCAACUCUGUAGGAUCCAGGUGGACCCAGAAAUGGAACCAGUGACCAUCUGGAGACUGACCAGAGGCAGGAUCCCACCCCACUUGAAGAGAAUAAAUCUAAAUUACAGGAUGUAAUACCUCAGCCGCUGCUAGAUCAGUAUGUGUCCAUGACUGACCCAGCUCGAGCCCAGACUGUCGAUACUGACAUAGCCAAACACU